UUGAUCAUGGCUCAGAUCGAACGCUGGCGGCAGGCUUAACACAUGCAAGUCGAGCGGAGAGAGGUAGCUUGCUACCGAUCUUAGCGGCGGACGGGUGAGUAAUACUUAGGAAUCUGGCUAUUAGUGGGGGACAACAUUUCGAAAGGGAUGCUAAUACCGCAUACGUCCUACGGGAGAAAGCAGGGGAUCUUCGGACCUUGCGCUAAUAGAUGAGCCUAAGUCGGAUUAGCUAGUUGGUGGGGUAAAGGCCUACCAAGGCGACGAUCUGUAGCGGGUCUGAGAGGAUGAUCCGCCACACUGGGACUGAGACACGGCCCAGACUCCUACGGGAGGCAGCAGUGGGGAAUAUUGGACAAUGGGGGGAACCCUGAUCC
rnacentral:rRNA from 1 species